GACGAACGCUGGCGGCGUGCCUAAUACAUGCAAGUCGAGCGAAUCUGAUGGGAGCUUGCUCCUUGAUGAUUAGCGGCGGACGGGUGAGUAACACGUGGGUAACCUGCCUGUAAGACUGGGAUAACUCCGGGAAACCGGGGCUAAUACCGGAUAACUUUUUUCUUCGCAUGAGGGAGAAUUGAAAGAUGGCUUCGGCUAUCACUUACAGAUGGACCCGCGGCGCAUUAGCUAGUUGGUGAGGUAACGGCUCACCAAGGCGACGAUGCGUAGCCGACUUGAGAGGGUGAUCGGCCACACUGGGACUGAGACACGGCCCAGACUCCUACGGGAGGCAGCAGUAGGGAAUCUUCCGCAAUGGACGAAAGUCUGACGGAGCAACGCCGCGGGAGUGAUGAAGGUUUUCGGAUCGUAAAACUCUGUUGUUAGGGAAGAACAAGUAUCGUUCGAAUAGGGCGGUACCUUGACGGUACCUAACCAGAAAGCCACGGCUAACUACGUG
rnacentral:rRNA from 1 species